rnacentral:lncRNA from 1 species
GUUCUAUGCAGGCAGAUGAGUACCACAGCUGUAACUGAGGCACACGGCAAUAAACACAGUGGAGCCAAUUUCUACGAUGGCGAGAGAGGGGGCAUCAGAGUUGACAACAAUGACAAGGAUCCAAGGACCGUCCUUCUGACAAGUUUCAGGUAUCGGAAGGCACAUAUUUCCCAGGAUGUGAUUUGCAGCCUCAUGGAGCGAGUGACGGAGUGGGUUGCCAACUUGUAGUGACUCCACUCAGCAACGCAGAAUGGCUGCGGGAAAUGUGUAUUCAGAUAAGCCCAAAGAAGUCUGCCCAGGGUGAAACAAGUACCUUUGAAGUUUAAAUCAGGUGUGUGAAGAAUGCUGGAAACAUGACUUCUUAGGUUUUAGAUUUUUUUUUUUAUAUUUAUGUUUCUCAAGGAAACUGAUGACUCUUGCCUGUUCUCCUAGCUCUUUUAACGCUAAAGAACACACCCUAAAGUGUAACCCACCCUCUCUCCUAGGAUUCAGUAUGCUCUAUUCCACUGCCUGGAAGGGUCUUCUAUUUUAUCAGAACUUUUGAUUUUCAAGGCAUGAUUGUGAUUUUCAUAUUUAAAAAAAGGUUUUGAUUUUGGAGGUAUUUUUAAAUUGGGAAUUGAAGUUUGAUAGGCUUUACCAUUUGUCUAUUUUCUUAAAAUAGUAAGUAGUAAUUGUAACAUAUGUGUUAAUUGCAACAUACUUAAGAAAGUAACAAUCAAGUUGCAUUUUAAAACUAUAUGUUCAUGUUAUCCUUAAAAAGUUAAGUGGAUCAGAAAAAUCAAGCGAAGCUAAUAAGUUUUUUAGAAAGUGUAAACCACAUUUCCUUGCAGGAUGAAGUUGUGCUUAAUAGCCUUUUUAAUUUAUUCAGAAACUACACAACUUUUGUUGCUAUAUUUUGUUAGAAAGGAAGGAGAGGCUGUUUCUACAGGUGUCAGAGAAAAAUCGAUACUGAGCCAUGGAUUAUUGAAUCCCGUAGAACCAUGGAGGCUUGGCAGUGAAAUUCUUCCAAAGGCAGACGGUGUUCCUAGGUUUGGAAACAUAAAUCCCAGGGGAAGUGAGCUGAAGAACAUUUUAUGCAUCACUCAUCCUAUUAUGAGCCCUAUGCUGCUCCAUCUCUACAAGAUUGGCUGA